GCGCCUGUAGCUUAGUGAGAAGAGCGUCUGAACGUUAUUUCCGAUUUCCCACCGGGGGUCCCGGGUUCAAAUCCCGGCAGGAGCC